GCGCCGGUAGCGCAGCGGAUUUGAACACGAGCUCCUGGACAGGGUGCAAUGCGGGUUCGAGUCUCGCCUGGCGUA